UACGUAGGUGGCAAGCGUUGUCCGGAUUUACUGGGCGUAAAGAGCGCGCAGGCGGUCCAGAUAAGUCCGCUGUGAAAACUCCGAGGCUCAACUUCGAGCUGUCGGCGGAAACUAUCUGGCUAGAGUCCGGAAGAGGAGAGUGGAAUUCCGUGGUGUAGCGGUGAAAUGCGCAGAUAUCAGGAAGAACACCCGUGGCGAAGGCGGCGCUCUGGGACGGUACUGACGCUGAGACGCGAAAGCGUGGGGAGCGAACAGG
rnacentral:rRNA from 1 species